ACUAGAUUUUAGGAAUCACAACUGGCGACUGACCGUAGGUUUGCCUAACACCGGAUCCUGUCUUGGACGCGGGCCAGAGUGGCGGGUGCCUAUAAAGAGGUGCAUUUCCACAGCACCGUGAAAUCUCCAGCUCGAGAUUGCUGUAGUUAUCCUUUCCUCCCGCUGCCCUGCUGCCGCUGCCGGGGCCUCUGCCCCAGCUGGUGUGGGAGGCCCCAGCUCCGCUCCUGGAGGCUGCAACCACGCUCGUGAAAACAAGGCUAAACGGAAUUGCUCCUUCCCUGGUGUGCCUUCACCUGGCCUCGGGGUCCUUGAAUGAGCUCUAAACAUCAGCUAUGAAUUUUGCCACCAACAUGAGGAAAAUAAACGUGGUUGUCUCCAGGAUGGGUAUACCGUGGCACAAAAGACCUCUUUCAGAGUCCAAGGACUGCAUGGUGAAGCUGAGGUCUGGGCCAGGAGUAAGAAGAUGAAGCCCUCAAAGACAGGAGCUCCUGCAAGGUCAGUGGCGGCUUCUCCAUCCAAGCUGGUGUCAGUGGAGAGCGUGGGAAAGAAGAAAGCCACCAGCCGUCCUGAGCCUCCAGGACAAAGACAAGGUGUUCUGGUUCAGAACUUGCUGCAGGCAGCUUGUAACUGUGGCUUUGACCAAAGUGGGUUAUUUCUACCCCGGCACCAUCUUGGAGUUUACUGGCAGAGUGCUUUUGCAGAGUGCAUCCUAACUGAUUCUUAGGUUACCUGGAUGGCCUGUGGUUGGUGAGCUGAACUGUCACUGUGUCAUCCAAUAUUUUAGAAACAGAUUUCAGUGUCUCAUAACAAAUUUUAGCCUAAUUGAACAGGAAAAAUUGAUCAUUCUGCCUUUAAUCCCUGUUGUUUGCUUUGUGUGUCUUGGCAUUACCAUGAUGCUCUCCUGGAAGACCAGGCUGUUGGAGAAGGUUCUUGAUUUGCUGUACCAGGAGGUAUAAUUUAUUUCAUUUUUGACACCAAAGAAGGCAUUUAGAGUUACUAAUCAGCAAAAACGCAGCAAAGUUUUGUGAUUCUUUCUUUCCUAGAUUUAAAUGCACCUACAGGGUCUUUAAUAGUCUUUUGGGUAUGGAGUAAUGAGGAAGAUAUAGUUCUUUGCUAACAGGGAAUCUUGAACAUAUUGAUUUAAUCAACUAGCCAAUCAAGAUUUUUUUUUAAACUUUUCACCUGAUGGCAAAAUAUUUUUUGUGAGUGUAGAUUGCUUCACCACUCAGUGUUCCUUUAGGAAGUGAAGGUACAGUGGCUGCGGGGAGUUUCGAAUGAAAAUAUUUGGAAGGUCUGUGUGACCCUCAGUGUUACACAUGCAUCUCUAUACGCGAUAAAACUAAACACAGCAAAGAUGCCCUAAAUAUAUUCCAAAACGUGUAAGAUGUAUGCAGAGUAGAUGGUUUGAAUUAUAAGGGGACAAUCUUAAAUAAUAGUUGUUUGAAGCUUUCCCUGAAUGAUCUUUCUAAAAUCUCUUGGUCCUUUUAUUCUGCUUGGCCAAGGUAGUUUUAAGUAUAAAGAAGGUAAUAAAUUGCCAGAAACUUUUUCUUUUUAGUAAAAGACUAUUAACUUUACGUCUUCAUUUAUGGUUAAGUUUUUUUUUUCCAAUUAAAAAUCUUGAUGUGACAGUCAAACCUAGUAAAAGUAACAAAGUACUAAUUGAACGUCUCUCAAAUCUCAGUCUUAUCUGGCCAUCCAUGCUCAUAAUUAGUUUCUCAGGUUUAAAGGCACUAAUCAUUUAACAAUGCCAACUGUGUAAAUUGAAAUUAAGGAACUAUUAAUGCAGCACUUGCAGGACAAGAUACUAAUUUCACAUAUUUGUGUUAGUGUUUCUGUCACUGUGGUUCCAGGUGUCUGCUAGAGCCUUAUUCUGUAAAGGUAGGGACAGGUAGUGCCUGACCCUUCAAUCUCAAAUAUAUAGUAGUAGGCAAAUGUAAAAAGAGACACACAGAAAACAACCCAAGAAAACAAGACAAAAUUCUACUUGGUAUUCAUAUGAUGAUGAAAAUUAUGUUAAUGAGACUGUCUUGAUGUGUCAUAGCCAUGACUAAGUCUCUCAAAUUUGAGGAUGGUGAUUCUGUACUUCGGAUGUUUGGCGGCCUUAAUGCUAAAUUUAAACUGGUUAAGUUUUAAAAGAAUAUUUCUUAAUUUAUGUGUGCGGGGUUGUUUUAAUAAAGAAAUUGCAGUAUUGUAUCCAUCAUGCCUUACAAAGCUGGAAAAUUACCUCCCAUCCUCCAGCAAAACCCAUUUUUAGACUUCAUAGAGGAAUAACCAUAGUCCUCUACUUCAAAACAUCCCUUUUUCUCUGAUCCUUGAAUAGCUACUCUUAGAGAAUUUCUUGCCUUUUUGCUCAAGAUCUUGAUUUAUCUCCAGGCCUGCAUAUCUUUAUGAGCAACACCUCACAGCUCUCAUGAUAACAGUGUUUCUUUUCCUCUCACUCUCUUUAGUUCAAAGUUGGCCCAAAAUAUUUCUCCGCAACAAAUGAACGUACCCAAUGUGUAUGAGUUGUAAGGAUAGGAUUUCAUAAGAUCUUCUGCACAGGUGGAAUAUAAAUUCCUUUAGUACAUACACAAAUAGAAGACAGGAAAUAUUUAAAAUUCUCAGAGCGCCCUGCUUGUAGGGUGACUUCUGAUUAACAGCUGAUAAACAGUACUCUCUUGUUUCCUCCCAUAUGUGAUAAAAUAAGAGAUGAAAGAGGAUAUAAGUUGCUUUAGGCAUUGUCCAGUUUACUGAAUGUCAUGUCAGGCACUAGAUUUAAUUUGAUCCUUCAUACAAAUAAUUUUUUAAUAAAGGAGCAGUUCAGAUUAAAGGAGAAAUUAAUAUAUUUAUGCUAUAGUGGUAAGUUAAAUUGGAUAAUAUGUUGUCUCUGAUGGUAUCACAGGAAUUAUUUACUGUGAUAAAAUGUUGCUUGUCAUAGUUCAGUGGAAUAUAAAUAUGUCCUGGAAACUGCAUUCCCAAAAUAAUGUGUUUUGAACUAUUCAAAUUGCUUAUCAUGGAAAGUAAACAAAAUCAUGCUGCCCUUAAUUUUGGAAGGAAAAGAGACUAAUUUUGGUUCUGUUACAGAAGUCUUGUUGAAUAAGUGAAACAAUGCAAACUUCUCAAAUGCAUGCAAACCUAAACCUAACCUUUUGGAUUUGAUAGCAAAGGCAACAUUGGAGAGAAAGACAACAAAAACCUUACAGGGCAAGGAACUUUUGUAUCCUAGCCCUGUCAUCUUAUGCUGGCUUGAAGCUGGGUUUGAGUUGACAAUAGCUUUUUGAAAUGGCAUAAUUUAUGAAUAAAAAAAAUCCUAAUCCCCUACUCCUGGGGGUGAGCAUCUGUGCCUGAAGAAGGAAGGCUGUGUGGGCUCAGCAGGAACGAGGCAUGAUCCCUGUCCCAGCUCUACCUUGUCCUUCCCACAGAGCUAAAGGUCUUUUUUGCUCUAUUUGUUCUAUUCUGCACUUUAGCUGAGGCACCAUGAGACCCAGAAAUUACUUAAAUAGCAACACCAGAGGUGAGAAAAUGAAGAUUGGCUCACAUGUUAAUUAACCAGCUUCACCUUAUCAUCCACAAUGCACCCUAAGACUGUAAAAAUAUGCCUUGGUGUUUCUGGUUGGUUUUUAAUCUUUCGUACUUUUCUGAUGAGAACACCUGAAGUGAUAUUUUAUGAAAUUUGAUGCAAAGUGCACUGAACACAAGCACAAAAGGCACCAGUGAUUUAAAUCUGCUUUGGAAUAUGCCCAUAGUGGAAGCUGAAGUAACUUUUUCUUCUCAGGUAUUCCCCUUCUGAAAUAAUUCUAUUCCAUUUCUGAAUUUGACUAUUUUGUUCAAUAGGCCUUGUUUAUACAUGCACAUUGUGACUUUAAAGGUAAUUUUUUUUUGUCGGUAAAAGCUGAGGUAAUUCUCUUCACAAAUGAUUGGAAAACUGAGGAAUAAUUUAAUAUGAGCAGAGCCUCCUUGGAGACUUGCAGGACGUAAUAUAAGCCACCUGACUGUUCCAGCCAAGGCUGUGUGAGUCAGCAGGAAAGAGGGUGGUAUACCCAUUAGACCUAGGAAGUGCAGGAGUGUUCAGAAAGGGAAAUCUUGAUUAUUUUUUUUCUUUUUAAUAGGUCCUAUUGCAUAAUUUAAGCCACUGCUGUAGGUGGUUGUACCUCUGCCAGACAGGAGCAGGUCACAAUCAUGACUCCAAGAAUCCUAGUCAUUACCUUUUAAAACCAAAUACAAUGAAGCAUUAUAGCAAUAGUAUCUGGUUUCUGCCAGCUGAUGAGCUCUGUGCAUCCAUGCACAGAUUUAACGAUGGUAGGUAGCAGUGCAGAGACCAGCCUGUAGGCUAGGGACAUCCUGUGGCAUCAGCUGCAAGCUGUGACUGGCCACUGCUGUUCCUCUUCCUCCAAGGUCAUCCAUCCUCCCCACGAGUGAAGGUGUUGUGGGGGCUUGGGGUGCCCGUACACUGUGUGAGCAGAGAGCCAGGUGCUCGCUGGGGAGCACUGGAUUGACUGAGCUGGUGUUUUGCUCUUCAAAGGUCUAGACAGGCUUCACAACAUGCACUGCGUGAUGGGCUGGGGGGACACCAAAGAAAGUUGUGUUUGAGUCCUCUCUGAUGCAGAAAGUCUUGAAUAAGCAGCCUCGACUGCCUGAAAGGAUGGGCACACAGGUUUUGGAUGUUUGCACAUAAAUCCAUUUCUCUCAUUUGUUGUCCUCAGAAUGCCUCUCCCAGUGUCCCUCCUCCUCUAGGUGCCUAAAGGUAACAGCAGCUUUUCACAGUGGAAAAAAUUGGCUGAGGCAAAUUAAUCACAGUAUCACUUCGUGCUACUCAUUUGUCCUCUCUCGGUAGUUUUGUUUCUGAAUUUGGAGAUAAUUUGAGAAGUUUGAGUUGUUUGGGCUGCUGUUACGUCUAAAUGCUCCUCUGUCUUGUAAGUUCUGAUAACUCCUCACGCAAAACUGUUUCUGUGUUUUGGGAUUAUCUGGGCUGUGUGUAUAUAAUGCUUUAUACACAGACAUCAGCACAGGCCUGGCUAAGGACCUACUUUGUCUACAGCUUAUUCGCUAUCUGUCAUCUAACUGGGUGUUUAGUCUUAUGACAUGAAACGUCUCCUGUUUGUGGCAUCUAGGAAGCCAUGUUGUCUGUGGUCACUUCAAAGGACAUUUUCUUCAUCAGAUAUAUUUAUUAUUAGUUUAAACCAAGAACAUUUUUUACUUUUGAAUAUUUAAAAGUGCUAUGACAACAGAACAUUUGUUAUUCUUUCCUUGAUGAUAAAGCAAGGAAAGUAUCUCUUUUCGCACUGAUUUUAACUUCAGAAUUUUUAUUUUUCUUAGAAUUUUUUGUUAGGAUAAUAACUGGAUUUAUACUGGGUAUAUAACAGGUGUUGUCUGUGUUAUUUUCAGAAAGAAACAUAGGAAGCAAACAAAGUAACUAGACACAUUUUGUAACUAAAAGAGGUUAAAAAAAUAGUCUGGUGAUUCUGUGGUGGCUGGAAGCUCAGCAACAAUAGGUUAAUAAUUGCUCUGCAGCCUCUGAUUGUGGUUAGCUAGUGACAUGAUUUCCAGGAAUUUCAGUUUUUCACAGCUAUUUUUUCAUUUUAUGUGAUUAAAUAUAAUGACCAAA